GGGAGGGAGAGAGAUGGAGAGAAGAGGGAGGUAGAGGGAGGUAGAGGGAGGUAGGUAGAGAGAUGGAGAGAAGAGGGAGGUAGAGAGAUGAAGAGGGGGGAGAGAAUCAGAAGUAUCAUUCUCUGAAUGUAAAUAGAAGCUGAAGAUUGUUAUCUAUCUGAUCAUUUCAAUUGAUCCUUUUUCAAAGUGAUUAGUUUAAUGUAACUUGGUUUUGUAGCGCCCACUGCUCUCUUCAGUUAGACUGCUGUUCCUGUGUGUCCUCAUAUCCAUGAUAAUAAUCAUCACAACCUGGAUGCUUUCACUCUUUCUGUAUUGGCUUGUAGUCCAGACGCUUGUGUUUAGAUCCUAGAAAAUCUUUUAACUUAUGUUUCUGUAUGUUAGAUAAACAGCAGCUAUAGAUUAUUGAUAAGAAAUGUCAUCUGUAGCAAUUCAUUAGUUAACAUUGAUAAGAAAUGUCAUCUGUAACAAUUCAUUAGUUAACAUUGAUAAGAAAUGUCAUCUGUAGCAAUUCAUUAGUAUCUGUAAAACAAAAAGGGCAAACCAAAGUUCAGUCAACGUUAAAAGAACAUGACAUCAUCAUGACAUCAUCAUGACAUCAUCGCCAGGAGUAGAAGCUCAACGCAUCAGGUCUUUUGAAAAGUGGGCAAAGAGGAACAGGAGAGAAGCCUGUUUGGCCCAGAGCACAGAGGCCAGUUUGGGGUGUUGUUCCAGGUAUAGCAGUGUCCCUGGGCAUCUCAGAAGAUUGAUAUGUCAUAUUAAUGUGGUUGAACACUUUUAAUGGCAUUGUGAGCAGAGAGACUGCAAUAUAGACAAACUGGAAUGAACCCAAUACGCUCUACAGACUCCUCUCUGGUCUUGUCCAGCCUCUGCUCUAUGCUAGUCGGUACUAGGAAAGUUAGACAUUUCCGACUUGCUAAUUUGUUGAAUAUGGCAAGUACAACAAUUAGCAUGCAAGAGAUUUUGGAGUUUCCUAGUUCCGACUAAGAAGUUAAUGUGUCAUAUCUGUCUGUCUGUCUGUCUGUCUGUCUGUCUGUCUGUCUGUCUGUCUGUCUGUCUGUCUGUCUGUCUGUCUGUCUGUCUGCCUGUCUGCCUGUCUGUCUGCCUGUCUGUCUGUCUGUCUGUCUGUCUGUCUGCCUGCCUGUCUGCCUGCCUGUCUGUCUGUCUGUCUGUCUGUCUGUCUGUCUGUCUGUCUGUCUGUCUGUCUGUCUGUCUGUCUGUCUGUCUGCCUGUCUGUCUGUCUGUCUGUCUGUCUGUCUGUCUGUCUGUCUGUCUGUCUGUCUGCCUGCCUGCCUGCCUGCCUGCCUGCCUGCCUGCCUGCCUGUCUGUCUGCCUGCCUGCCUGCCUGCCUGCCUGCCUGCCUGCCUGUCUGUCUGUCUGUCUGUCUGUCUGUCUGUCUGUCUGCCUGUCUGUCUGUCUGUCUGUCUGUCUGUCUGCCUGUCUGUCGCAGCCUUCUUUUACAACUAUAAACGCAGAGAAAAACAACAAAAACUACAAAAGGGAAAUCUUUAAAUAUGAAUAUUUUACAAUAACCAAUAAGUAUAUGACUAAUAUUAAUAAUAAUAUCAACAUUAAUACUGAAGUCUCACAUAGGUACUGGGGGAGGAAGGGAGGGAUGAACACAGAGGGGAGGGUUAAACAACUGAUAUUGUACCUGCUUGUUGUGUAUCUUGUUAAUUAACCCCACAGCUAAUAAUAAACUGGGACUAUGCAUAACCAA